GAUGAACGCUAGCUACAGGCUUAACACAUGCAAGUCGAGGGGAAACGAUAUUGGAAGCUUGCUUCCGAUAGGCGUCGACCGGCGCACGGGUGAGUAACGCGUAUCCAACCUGCCCAUCACUUGGGGAUAACCUUGCGAAAGUAAGACUAAUACCCAAUGAUAUCUCUAGGAGACAUCUGAAAGGGAUUAAAGAUUUAUCGGUGAUGGAUGGGGAUGCGUCUGAUUAGCUUGUUGGCGGGGUAACGGCCCACCAAGGCGACGAUCAGUAGGGGUUCUGAGAGGAAGGUCCCCCACAUUGGAACUGCGACACGGUCCAAACUCCUACGGGAGGCAGCAGUGAGGAAUAUUGGUCAAUGGACGAGAGUCUGAACCAGCCAAGUAGCGUGCAGGAUGACGGCCCUAUGGGUUGUAAACUGCUUUUAUAAGGGAAUAAAGUGAGCCUCGUGAGGCUUUUUGCAUGUACCUUAUGAAUAAGGACCGGCUAAUUCCGUGCCAGCCGCCGCCGUAA
rnacentral:rRNA from 1 species